ACGGUCCGGGGGCCGGAUGUGGCCCAGCGGAAUGUUUUAUGCGGCCUGCUGACACCUACAGCAGACAUGCCUAUAGUCCCGCAUUAUGCGGAAACGGCCCGCAAAAUCAUCAAAAAAGCUCACAUGUUCCGCCGUUCCGCAUUCACGAUUUUUUGUUCCGCCAAGUCUGAAUUUUAUCAUUAUUUAUUAAUAGUGCGAAUUGAAAAUACUGAGUGCAAAAUAAAAUAUAUAUAGGUCUGUGUUUAUUGUUUACAUUUCAUCUACUUCCGGACCCGGUGUGUCCUAAAUUUACGAAGAAAUGGCUGAAGACUAGAUCUAGAUCUACAUCUAGUUCUAGACAUAGAUCUCUAGAUCUACUGAUCUAGUAGUCUAGGUCUAGAUAUUAGAAUUAGAUCUAUUCUUAGAAUCUAGAUGUUGUGAUUAGCUCCCCAAUCUGUGCCAGCUAAUUUUUUCAAGAGGGAUAGUCUCUGGAUGCCUUUACUCUGUGUUUUAUCUAUUUGGUUUUUCCAGUGAGAAUAUGGUAUAUGUGGUCUUUUUUGUGUUGAUGGACAUGCCCCAGUCUUUGGACCAAUUAUUGAGUUUAUCAAGAGCAUCUUGUAAUCGAAAUUUCGAUGUUCCUACAUAUUCUUCUGUGCUAAUUAUGGCAAGGUCAUCUGCAUACAUGCUGCUUUUAACUUUUCUAGGUGGCGAUUUUAUUGUUUACCAUGGAGUUGUCUACUUUUCAAAUUUUACUGACCAAGUUUUUUACAGUGACUGAUCCAUCAGCAGUUUCCGAAGCAGUAACUGAUAUCUCAAAAAAAUAUCGCUUUACUGAUGGUGUCUGGUCACCUCAGAGGAUCAACAGGAUUUGUUCAUUGAAAGACACUUGAAGGUGUAGGCAGUUAAAGCAAAAGGACUUCUUGCAAUGUUUGUUUCAAGGACCAGACACAACAGAAUUUGACAACAUAUGUAUUGGAAGCUCAAAAUCAGAAACUGAAAUCUGCCCAUGUGGAGUGUCACCAGAGAAUGUUGACCAUCUUCUCCAAAACUGCUCUCUUUACCAAGAGGCUGUACAUGACACUGGCCCCAAAACACCCCAAUAGAAAGAAAACUAUAUGGAGAGUUCCCUGAUUUGGAAACGCUGUGAAAAUAAUCUCAUAUACUGGUCCAGUCAUCUGAAUGCUCCAAUAAAAAAAUGAGAAGGAAGAAGAAAGAAGAUUGGGAGCAACAUGGCUAUUGAAAAGCAGAGACCAUACAAACCUCAUUAGAUGAAGAGUUUUAUUUUGUUGGUAAAGUCCUUGGUUUUGAGCCAGCAGAGAAACAUAGAAAGCUCUAUUUUUACAAUAUAUAAAGAGUGACUUUAGCUCAACUCCUCACCAAGCUUUACAGUCUGUGACAUUUUUUUGGUAAAACUUUUAAUCAGAUUUAUGUGUGUAUACUUAAUUAUGUUAACUACAUUUAUCAAGAAUACUAUAUUCAUAAAAAGAAGCUGCUUUAAAGGAUUAAAGAUAACUUUGACCCUUUUGAGAAAACAAAUUUAAACACAAGAUUUUGAAUUAAUUUUGUAAUUCUUUUAUAUUUUUUUUUCUGAAAGCCACAUAACGACACAAGUAUUUAUUCAAGGUUUUGAAUGUAUGGUAUACUGUUAGGUUUAGUAUUGAGUCAUUCAGUAAAUUGUUUUUGUUUUGUGGUUUUUAUAAAUUAAUAAAUGGAAGUUUAUAUAAUGUGUUAUGCUUAUAUGUAUGAUUUUUUUUACUGAUCUAAAGAAAGAAACUUGAGGAUUUUAAUUUUUAUUCCUUUUGAAACAUGUAAGGAAUAUUAGAACAUUGGUUGGCAACAUUAUUAGUGUAAAAAUGUAUUUCACUUGGUAGCCAAGAAUGCUUAUAACUGAGAUGACAUCACUAAUUGUGGUUAACAAGGGUGCCAUGUUGUCAGCACAAUAACCAACCGCCUUUACUUUUCCUAACUCAUAUCAGGUACCCAUUAGAGCUGGGUGGACUCAAAGGCACCAUAAAGAUCCCAAAAUUAAAAUACCCAUCUUCACUAGGAUUUGAACCCAGGGUCCUUCUGUUUGGAAGUCAAGUGCUUUACCACUCAUCCACAUGCCUCUGUUAAAGGCUAGAUUUUGUGACAAUUAUUUUUAGGACAGAGAAUGAUGUAUGCACAAAGUUGUAGCUUUUUUUUAUUUUUAUUAAAUUUAUUUGUAUUUAACCACUGACUUAUUAAUCUCUGAAUUGUCAAAUUUAAGUUUGUAAUCAGUUAGUGUUGACCUUGGCUUGAUAGGCUAAAAGGAUUAACAAUAAUAAUAAUAAUAAUUAUAGCUUGUAUGUAGUGCUACUUUCAUGCUUACAGCAUGCUCAGAGUGCUGUGUUCCAAUCUUAUGUGUGAACCAGUAGGGGGGGGGAUUUGGGAGAGGGUUUUCCAUGCUGCCUUCGGGUACCCAGUAAACAGAACUCUGCUUGAGUCGUGUGUUUAACCUAGAGUCACCUUGAUAGGUAGCCAAGCCAAGCCAAGUUCAAGCAUACUUAGCCUCUUGACCAUGCCUCCACAUUGAAAUUAAAUUGUAAAUGUUAAAUAUUUUUAAAAAUUUAAUACAGAAUUUGAUAUUUAUGAAAUAUUUAAUACAGAAUUUGAUAUUGAUGAAAAAUUUAAUACAGAAUUUGAUAUUGAUUACAAAAAAUAAUACAGAAUUUGAUAUUGAUACCUGAUACCAUUUCAUUUGUGUGUGUGUGUGUUUCCAAUAAUAAAAAAAUAACAAAAAAUAAUACAGAAUUUGAUAUUGAUACCAUUUCAUUUGUGUGUGUGUGUGUUUCUAAUAAUAUUUCUAUGAAUGUACAAUUUAUUCUCUAGAUAAAGAUUCAUUUUCUGUUUUGUAAGGCAGCUCUCAAUCCUCAGUGUUAUGAACAUAAUGAUAACAGAGUCGAAAACCAUGUCCGCUUAGUAUGGCUUUAAUACACUGAAUGACUACACAACACACAUUUUGUGAACACAUUCUUACAGACGAGUUACAAUCACAUGUAAACAUAAGAACCAAAACCGAUACAGCAUAUAAUUUUCAUAAGUGAAAUUCUAAAUUUACUGAACUAAACAGACU